rnacentral:misc_RNA from 1 species
GAAAUGCGAUACGUAAUGUGAAUUGCAGAAUUCCGUGAAUCAUCGAAUCUUUGAACGCACAUUGCGCCCCUUAGUAUUCCAGGGGGCAUGCCUGUUUGAGCGUCAUUUCCUUCUCAAACAUUCUGUUUGGUAGUGAGUGAUACUCUUUGGAGUUAACUUGAAAUUGCUGGCCUUUUCAUUGGAUGUUUUUUUUCCAAAGAGAGGUUUCUCUGCGUGCUUGAGGUAUAAUGCAAGUACGGUCGUUUUAGGUUUUACCAACUGCGGCUAAUCUUUUUUUAUACUGAGCGUAUUGGAACGUUAUCGAUAAGAAGAGAGCGUCUAGGCGAACAAUGUUCUUAAAGUUUGACCUCAAAUCAGGUAGGAGUACCCGCUGAACUUAAGC